CAUUCAAGAACGUUCCAGGCUUCUAACACUAGUAGGCGCAACUCUCAUUCUCCAGCUCUCUCUCUCUUUGUUUCUUUUUUUCUUUUUUCUUUUUUCUUUUUUACUUGAUUCCAGAGGACAUUUGUGUAAAAAUGCCAUAAGUCCACUUUCCUCUCCAUAAUUUUCCUCCUGAUUUGGGAGGAUGAGAUUUGUGGGCCCGGGAGAGAAAAUUUUCUCCUGGGUUUUUCAUCCUUAGUAUUUUUCUUCUUUUGCCAAACAAUGAAAAACACUUUUCCACCCACUUUUCCUCCAUAUGUUUCCUAUCCUCCCUGAAAUCACCACCACCAAACCAAACAUAGUAUAAGUAAAAUUGUUAAGUGUAAUAUGGAAGGAAUAUAAGGGCUAAGUGGUAAAACAACGAAUAAGUUCUCUUUUUCAGUUCUUGAACCACCGCGCUCUCUUUCCAUCAAGAAUAGAACACCAUACCAAUGGAGGUCAAAUUCGGUUUCAAUGGGUUGUAAAGGUGUUGCUAGUACCCAGGUUUGAGCUUUUUCAAGUUAGGUUCUCAUCUCUGCUACUAUGAGGUUUUAUGUAAUGGGAGAGCAACACGAGCCUUAGUUGAGUUUUGUAGGAACUGAGCUUUAUUUUGUUAGUUAUCACUUUCUACUCUAGUAUUUUUAAGCUUAUUUCUGUAAAAAGUUUGUAUUUUUAAAUCAAUAGUUGGAAGUUAGAAGUUUUGACAUAAUCAAAAUUUUUAUUAUGUGACCUUGAGAUAUAUCUAUAAGGAAAAGGUUUUUAUGCAAUUUGGGUUGCGGGAAUUUUUAUGCAACUCACUACAAGUAUGUGGUGGUUAAAAAAACCAUCCACGUGUACUUAUAAUCACAUGACAUUUUAACGAGUCAUGUGACUUAAAUAAUACAUGUGGAUGAGUUUUUCACUGCCAUGGUUGCAUAAAAACCUUGUUCUAUUUAUAAUUGAUGGUUUUUGUUAUGACUUGGAGAAAAAUAUUAUAUGUUUUGUUUAUCAAGUAGCAAAAAGAACUAAUUUGUUCACUGGUUUAGUUUGGUCUGUGUUAAUAUCAAGUUUAGACUUGUUAUUAACAUGUCGGCCAUGGUUGCAAUUCUAGAAUUCGAGUUUGGGUCGUGACACUAAUAGGAUUUGGUAUAUUCUUGUACUUUGUACUUCUAUUCUAUCAUAGUGAAUUCUACUGCCAAAAGGGGUUUUCUGUUGAGAUAUUCCCUUCGUAACCAUAUUGUUGUGUCUCACUUUUCUGCUUCUAUUUCUAUCUUGCAAUAUGGUUGUGCACUUUAUUCACUGAAUUGGAACUUAAUUGGCAAUGUAGUCAAGUUGGCGUAACAUUGAGUAACACCAAUCAAUUGGGAAAUUUAGGAUAUACACGUCAUGGUUGCUUAAAGAUUGUGUUAUCAUUUCUUGGCCAUGGAAGAUUACAAAGCAAAACCUGCCAAAUCUUUUGUUAGGUUUUUCUUUUGUUGGCAUAUUCUGUGUCAAAAUUUUCUUGUAAUUAUCAUUCAAAUACUUUGUAUUUUGGUUUUAGUAGGUUGAUUUGUAAUUUGGUUGAAGUUCAAGUACUGAAAAUUGAAGUUUCUGCAAGGAGAACUUCGAUUGAGUGAGAUUGGAUCUUGGUCCCGCGAGUUUGAAACAUAUCUGGCAUUUUAAAUUCAGUUGAAGACAUUUUUGCCUAACUUUUGGUUGAUCGAAACGGUUAGAACAGCAGAGAAAUCAGGUACGAACUUCUCUAUUGUUUCAGCAAUUAUAGGUCUCAUUUCCUAUGAAAUUAAACCAUAAUUAACAUCUACAAGUUGACAAAAACCUAGCAAAUUGUGAGAGCCAAACACUUGGCCUUUCUCUCUACUUUCUCUCUCUCACCAUAGUCAAAUACUUGAGAGGAGAUCAAUUCCUUCUAACCCAUCACUACCUUUGUUCCUUUGUGUAAUGAGGGUUGUUUGAAGCUUGGGAAUCAUUGGAGCUUCUACGUAUUCAACCAAGGAGACUUAAAGAUUGCAAUUGGAGCUCAAUUGUGGAUUUGACAACUAGAUUAAAGAAAAGACUUGGUAAAGUUAGUUGAUAGUAGGAGCUUGGAUGACAUGAGUUUAUAGAUAGCACUAGGCUUGGAGGGUUUUGUGCAUAUCUUGUACUGCAACUAUUCAUUAGAGUAGACCAUUUUGGUAAUUGUGCUGCAGAGGGUUUUUUCCACCCGUUUUUUGGGUUUUCCUCAUCAAUAACACAUCUAGUGUUAUUUUUGCCUCUUUGGUAUUGUGAAUUUAAUUUUUGUGGUUUCUACAUUUCA